UACGAAGGGGGCUAGCGUUGCUCGGAAUCACUGGGCGUAAAGCGCACGUAGGCGGCUUUUUAAGUCAGAGGUGAAAUCCUGGAGCUCAACUCCAGAACUGCCUUUGAUACUGGAGUGCUGAGUCCGGGAGAGGUGAGGUGGAACUGCGAGUGUAGAGGUGAAAUUCGUAGAUAGUUACGCAAGAACACCAGUGGCGAAGGCGGAGCUCGACCUGGCCCGGCUACGUCGGACGACUGACGGUUGCG
rnacentral:rRNA from 1 species